rnacentral:rRNA from 1 species
CGGGACGGGUGAGUAAUGUCUGGGAAACUGCCCGAUGGAGGGGGAUAACUACUGGAAACGGUAGCUAAUACCGCAUAACGUCGCAAGACCAAAGAGGGGGACCUUCGGGCCUCUUGCCAUCGGAUGUGCCCAGAUGGGAUUAGCUAGUAGGUGGGGUAACGGCUCACCUAGGCGACGAUCCCUAGCUGGUCUGAGAGGAUGAUCAGCCACACUGGGACUGAGACACGGCCCAG